UUUGUAGCUGAAACUCCGUUGUGUGAGCACAGGCUGAACCUUCAAGAAAUCUUGGGUAUUUUUGUAAUAUCUGUUGAUAUUGACUACCAUGCAGUGUAAUGAACGUGGCUCACUUUUUGAAGCCUGUUGCAGAAUAUUACUUUUGAUUAAUUAGCAUCUGUAAAUGUAGUGUGCAGAAACCUCAGACCCACCACAAAUCAAAGGCAAAGAGUUGAGGAAAACGGCGGAACUUCAUUGUUUCAUCAGCAGAGAAAAAGAGGCUUCUCAACAAAAGAGAAAAACCACGUAUUAUUGUGACAAUAAUCCGGUGUUAAAAACCAUAUUGUCUCAGUAACCC